AAAUUUUGUCAAUCAAAAUCAAAGAUAUUCGAGGUUAGUUUCUUUAGAUUCUACUGUAAACUUCAUAAUUUUUUCAUUUGCAAAGGUUCCUACUCGAUAAUUUAAAGUGAAAGGUUCUGAUUUUGUAUGUAUGCUUACUUUUAUCAACUGAAAAUUUGGAUUGCCCCACUUUGAUUUGGUUGGUAGUGUGAGUAGACAAUCUCCUACUGCUUUGGAUUACUCUUUUUUGGCUAGUUUUUUUAUUUUCUUAUUUUUGUACUUAAACUUGAUUUCAGUCACUACGGGACUGUCUAUGGGUUUGAUGUCAUUAUGGUUGUUAGUGCUUCUAGAAGGUUGUUAGUGCUAACUGAAUAGUUUGCUCGGAAUUCUGUUGGAGUAUGACUUCCUCUGUUCAUCUUGAUGAUAUUGUUGUAUUCCCUUUAUAGUUUUCCCUGUACUACAUGCACGAGAAAAGUUGAGGAAUUAAUGAAAAACUGUAUAUGUUAACCUGAAUUUAUCGUGUUUUCCCUAUACUGCAUACACAUCUUUUAUGCCUAAAUUUCACUAGAAGAUGGUCCAAGGAAAGUGGACAAUUAAUAAGGAUGGAGGUGGCCUCUUGUUUACUUUACUGAAUGAGUACUAUAUAUUCCUAAACUAUUGAGUCCUUUCUUACCUAUCCACAUCUUAUCUAUAAUUAACUUUUGUCCCAAUCAAAAAAUAGAAGCAAAUUGGAAAAAGAGGGGAAUAAGGACUUUCAUGAAAACUAUCUUAUUUGGAGUUUAAUGAGUUUGUCGAUUGUGGACUGAUAAGUGUAAGUGGAAUAUUUCAAGAUUAAGUUUGAAGUUAAAUUUAUACCCUGGAUCUUUUUUACAAUCUUGAAUAAUUCUCUCCUCGAUCAUGAGAAAGAUUAUGGAUUUGAGUAGCUUUGCUUUCUGAAAUAGUAAUUUUCUCGUUAUUAGAGAGAAUCAGUAACCAAUUAGGCCCAAAGUUUAUUUCUUUAUCAUGGUAUCGGAUGAGUUUUAUUUUUCAUGUUGUACCCCUCUAUUUUACUAUCCAUUCUCUAGAUGUUCAAUCAUGGACGUGCGGGAGUGUUUAAUUAGCUAAUGUAUCUUACAUGUUAUGAAUAACAGAAUUGAUACAGAAAGUUUCAUAUUGUUAUAGGACGAUGUCAAUUUAAAAUCACAAAUCAUAGCAUAACCCUCUAAACUAAAUAUGGAUUUUUUUUCAAGUUUUAACCUAGCUAUACUAUAAUAGAAGCGAGUUCCAAAAUCUUCUGCAAUUCCUGAGCAGGACAAUACACUUCAAGAACACCUUUUUGUCCAAAUUCAUAUUCAUCUUCAGUCUGUUUCAUUAAUUUCAAGAAUAAUGAAUAAAACUCUUUAUAUCUUCCUUUUUGUUCAUCUCUUCAGAUCUUCCUCUUAGUUUUCCCUGUAUAUGUUAAGCUGAAUUUAUCGAUCAUAGGCUAAAUGAAGCAGAUGUCUAUUUCGAAUGCUUCACUGAAAAACUAUAAGCGAAAGGUCUAUGUCAAAUUGAAUUGUUUCAUCAUGUUGGUUGACUUUGAACUUUAUGCCAUCAUACACCUGUUGUUUGACUUUAUAGCAACAAAAGAGUUGGGCGUAAUGAUGAUGUUGGUGAAAAAAAUGCAACUAACCCAACACUAUUAGUCUUUAAUUAUCCUGGCCGAAGUUAUGGUUAGAAGGAUGAUGAUAUCCGAUGGCUAGAUAAUAAAGAAGUUGCUGCAGCACAAUUGCAUGUUCUUAUAAAUUGUGAUGAAGUUAAGACUUUUCUCAAGUAAGUAUCAACCAUGUUGUUCAUUUAACUAUUAUAUUUGGAUUGAAACUAAUGUGCUAAUGUAAGUACAUGCAGUUUGUAUGAGCAAAUCCUAAAAGAUACUUAUAGUGAUCUCACUGACGAUGUCAUUGAUAAACAAAUUUAAGAAGACUUUCCAUGAUAGUUCAAAGAUUAUGUAUGAAUAGAUUAUUUUAAUAAAGAAUAUAUCACUUAAAAUUCAUAUCUAAUAAGCUUCAAUUAUUUGAUAGGUAAAUAUUAAUCCAUAAGAGAUGCUGCAGAAUCCAUAUUUGCAAAUCUUAGCAAUGAGACCAUUAAGAAAGGCAAAGUCUUGGCCUGUUUAUUUUGUGAAUGGAUACAAGUUUCAUACUUCUUCUUGGGGCGAAGGAAAAAGUACAUAUAACAGUGGGGUGUGUGUUACUGGCG
rnacentral:lncRNA from 1 species